UACGAAGGGGGCUAGCGUUGUUCGGAUUUACUGGGCGUAAAGCGCAUGUAGGCGGACCAUUAAGUUGGGGGUGAAAUCCCGAGGCUCAACCUCGGAAUUGCCUCCAAAACUGGCGGUCUGAAGCAGAAGAGAGUCGAGUGGAAUUCCGAGUGUAUAGGUGAAAUUCCUAGAUAUUUGGAGGAACAUCAGUGGCGAAGGCGACUCCCUUGCUUCUUGCUGACGCUGUGAUGCGAUAGCGUGGGGAGCAAAAAGC
rnacentral:rRNA from 1 species